rnacentral:rRNA from 1 species
UACGGAGGGCGCGAGCGUUGCUCGGAAUCAUUGGGCGUAAAGCGCACGUAGGCGGCGGCGUAAGCGGGAUGUGAAAGCCCAGGGCUCAACCCUGGAAGUGCAUCCCGAACUGUGUCGCUUGAAUCUCGGAGGGGGACAGAGAAUUCCCGGUGUAGAGGUGAAAUUCGUAGAUAUCGGGAGGAAUACCAGUGGCGAAGGCGCUGUCCUGGACGAAGAUUGACGCUGAGGUGCGAAAGCGUGGGGAGCAAACAGG